AUGACGUAGUCUUCCAUGAUUGUUUUGGUAUCGUAGCAACGUGAUCGUGAUUUUUCGUUUAAAUUGCAGUAACACGAGGUUGUAUCACCACAUUACGUUCUGUGGACUCUUGUGUAUUUGUUCCUGCAAAGAAAUACAAUUUCCGUUGCUCAGUUUACUUAAAGGACACAUGAGGAUGGCUCAUACAGGAAGAGAAGAAUCCAGUUUGAGAUUGAGAAAUACUCGUGCAAGUUUCCCGGAUGCAGGAGUAGUUAUUAUGUAAAAACAAAUUCCAAACACAAGAAUAAACAUUUAUAUAAAUUUACAGCUGCCUCAAAAAGUGAGACUUUAAAGAAGUGGAAAUUGAUCUGUAAUAUAGGUGAAGGUGUCUACUGUAGUUAUUAUUAUGUGUGAGAGGAUCAUUUUUAUGAAGCAGAUUUUGUGAACUUUACUAGACACAGGCUAAAUCCUGGUGUUAUACCAAAGCUCAUGGCACUGGUGUUGUAUCACCCUCCCCCCACCCAUCUGUGUUACACUGGUAGUGGUGGUGGUGGCGGUUUCACCACAUCGGGUGCAAAUAUAAGUAUGCACGAGACAGGUCACAAUGCAAAAUCUACAGUAAUACAACGAAGCAGUCCACCUUUACAGAGCGGAGGUGAUGGUGAGUACAGCUUUCUAUCCUCACCUGUUUAUGAUGUUGAAAGUAGUCCAGGUGUAAUGGGACCUGGCGUUUCUAAACGUGAUUUAACUCCAAGAAAACACAAAAUGUAUAAACUGCAUAGAAUUACAGUUUCCAGAGUGUGUAAAUUGAAAAAAACAGCUACAGAAUGAGAGGAAUAAAUUGAAAAUUUUAAAAGAGUUGUAUGAUGACAGGAAAUUUCAGUUAAUUGAAGAAGAGUUGAAUGAUGUGACUAAAACUUUUAUUAAUAGUCAGUUAAGAAAUGCCAAUAUGCAGCCCACAGCAGUACAGUGGUCUAUAAAAGAUAAGGCAUUUGCUUUAUCUAUUUAUAAGCGUAGUCCCCGGUUGUACAGAUAAAAAAAAACGUUUCAAAACUCUACCCAAAUUAAAAGCACAACACUUUAACUUUUCUGAUUCCCAUGUCAAAAUGAGGGUAAAGAUUGCUGCUGCACAAAUGAGCCAUACUGUUGCAGCUGCAAUUGAAACAUAUGUUUCUACUCACACAUUACCAUCUGAAGCUAUACACACAGCUGAGGUUUUCAGUUUGUACAAGCUCUGAAGACUUGGGUUGUCAAUCACAUGACUUUGCCUUUCAAAUCCAUGAGCGUAAGUAACUGUGAAAAUGAUGAUUACACUCCCUUGAGCAGUUUGUGUCACUUUUUGGCAGCUAGUUGUAGGAGUGAACAUUUAAGUGAAUGUGAGAUGAAAGACAUGAUACACCUGAGCAAAUUUAUUCUUACUCAGAUGGUAUCAUCGAGUCUGUAGAAGAACAAUCCUUAGCCUAUGUAGCAUGCUAUGUACUAAAAGCCAUAGAUGUACAAGAUGAUUGUGAAACUUGUAAUACCAGUCUCUAGUCCUCUGUUGUGACUAAAAAUCAUUUGUUUACCUCAUUUAAAGAGAAUAGUGAGGAGCAUUCUCAUUUGAAAUAUGCAAGUGAAAGAGUCAUGAUUUUCCUAAGGCCACUCCAUGAUCAGCUGUAUGAGUAAAUAGUCAUGGUCACACAACAAGACUACAUGAUAAUUAAAAAAAACAUUUGUUCUGUCUCAUACAACAAUUUGUAAUAAACAUGACAUUGAAGAGAGACUUCUGAAGACAAGUAUUCCAUUUAUAAUACACAAGUAUGUGAAAGAAAAGAAAGUUACGAACAAGAGGAAAUUGUGUAUGCAACAACUUAAAAAGGAGUUCAAAUCAUGUUAAAAGACUUUGUAUUUUGUUUAUUAUGUGUACAAUGAGAGUAAGCUCCUAUACAUAUACAAAUGUCGUGUUAAAAGCAGAGAAUUACAUGUUCUUCUAUCAAAAUCAUGCCUUUGAUUUGUUAUGACAAAAUCUGGUAAUUUAGCAGGAACAUAACUUAACACUUUCUAGAUGUGAUCAUUGGAUUCUAAAAGUAUAAUGAAUAAAGUGCUGUCUAGGGGAAUUUGUGUUAAUUUUCAGUAGUGUACAAACAAAGUUUUCAAAGAUGAAGUAAAUAAAUAAAAAUGUUAAAAAUAUAUGUUGUACCAGCGUCUUUUUUCGUUAUUUAAACAUGAUGGGUGUUGCCAAACUGUUGUAUGUUGCAGUUCAUUUACUUUGCAUGUCGCAUUGGCAAAAACAUUUGGCUACAUUCAUGGAGUGUCUACCCGCUCUGCUCCCAAUUUGUUUUUCAGUUGAUGUAAAGUAGUAUUUUGUGUGUUUAAUAAAUUUAUUUGAACUGUGCAGAAGUUCAAUUUCAGAUGACUGUAUAUCUAUAAAUAACAAUCAACAGAAAAAAAUAUAAAUCGGAUUUUGUAGA